UCGAGUUGCGCCGUCUGGUGCUUAACUCCCACCCUUUGUGUACCUAAAUCUUUGUUCGUUGCCUCGGUGGGGUCGAUCCCAGUUUAGGGGGACUCGCCGGGGGACAUUUUUAAACUCCUGUGAACGGUAUCGUCUGAGCAUAAAUAUAAAAAGUCA
rnacentral:misc_RNA from 1 species